rnacentral:lncRNA from 1 species
GAGGAAAGCCCUUUUCUAUUUCCAGCAGGACACACCUAGCAAUAGAUGUGACAUUCAGCACUGCCCAGGUUUCUUCCACUUGGAGGAGGCAAACUGGUAAAUGGAAGGAGGCAAUCCUCUGGCAGUGGGAUGCUAGGGAGCGAUAAUAAGGCAAGUUUGAUUGUUUGAAGGCUGCUGGUAUCCAGGGCUGGAAGCUGGUGGACGUCUCAUGAUGGACCUAACAGUAACUUCUGGCACAAUGGGACACCAUGACAGGAGCCAGAGUGCACAGAAAUGCUGUUUACCUUCCUGUCACAGCGGUACCUAUUUAUCUACUUGCUUUCGAACUGCUAGGUUGGCAGGAGCUGGGACAGAGCAAUGGGAGCUCACCCCAUCACAGGGAUUCAAACCGCCAACCUUCUGAUCAGCAAGCCCAAGAGGCUCAGUGGUUUAGAGCACAGCGCCACCUGCGUCCCCAUAUAUAUGCCCUAUAUCUAUCUGUCUAUCCUCUCUCUCUCUCUCUCUCUCUCUCUCCUCUAUCUAUCUAUCAUCUAUCUAUCUAUAUCUAUAUCUAUAUCUAUAUCUAUAUCUAUAUCUAUAUCUAUAUCUAUAUCUAUAUCUAUAUCUAUCUAUCUAUCUAUCUAUCUAUCUAUCUAUCUAUCUAUCUAUCUUCUAUGCCCUAAAUCAGGAGUAAGGAAUCUCAGACUGUAAGGGGAUGCAGUCCUUUAGACCUUUCUAAAUACAGUGGUACCUUGGUUUACGAACUUAAUCCAUUCUGGAAGUCCGUUCUUAAACCAAAACCAUUCUUAAACCGAGGCGCGCUUUCCCUAAUGAGGCCUCCCGCCGCCGGUGCCCUUCCACCAUUUGGAUUCCAUUCUUAGACUGAGGUAAAGUUCGCAAACCAGGACACUACUUCCGGUUUUGCAGAGUUCAGAAACCGAAUCGUUCGUAAACAGGAACCGAAGUACCACUGUACUUGAAACUCUACCUGGGUCGUGCCCCUUCCUUGGGAUGCAUACCCUUUAUGUUGGCACACCCUUCACCAGUGUUGUUCCCUGCUUCUCAAAGUCCUUUUGCCUGGCUGGAAUGCAUCUCGCUUGAGUAAGAUUGCAAGAUUUGUGCAUAGAAACCAUCGGCUUUUGCAUGGCUGGACCGUAGCCAACUCAAAGGCAUUGUUCCGUCCACAUUUGCUUCUGGGCUCAGCUGCCACUCCCAUGUGGCCCUUGGAACAUUCUCCAGGUGGGAAUGUGGCUCCCAGGAGGUGAAAAAUGUUCCUCACCUCUGCCCUAGACCAUUUAUUGUAUGGGUUGUAGAUAAAUGCCUCUGCACUUUUGAGCAUGUGAGGGUCUUCUGGGCAAACGGAAGCUUAGAUGCAUGAGCUAAACUGAACAUCUGCACACAGUUAGUGUGCUUGAUAUUAAGCAUUUAUUAACUCCAGGCUGGGCCUUUAUCAUCAUCCCCUUACUAGUUGCUCAAAGCAUUUGUGAGCAUUGUUCUGGUUGUUUAGUCGUUUAGUCGUGUCCGACUCUUCGUGACCCCAUGGACCAGAGCACGCCAGGCACUCCUGUCUUCCACUGCCUCCCACAGUUUGGUCAAACUCAUGCUGGUAGCUUCAGGAACACUAUCCAAUCAUCUCGUCCUCUGUCGUCCCCUUCUCCUUCUCCUUGUGCCCUCCAUCUUUCCCAACAUCAGGGUCUUUUCCAGGGAGUCUUCUCUUCUCAUGAGGUGGCCAAAGUAUUGGAGUCUCAGCUUCAUGAUCUGUCCUUCCAGUGAGCACUCAGGGCUGAUUUCCUUAAGAAUGGAUAGGUUUGAUCUUCUUGCAGUCCAUGGGACUCUCAAGAGUCUCCUCCAGCACCAUAAUUCAAAAGCAUCAAUUCUUCGGUGAUCAGCCUUCUUUAUGGUCCAGCUUUCACUUCCAUACAUCACUACUGGGAAAACCAUAGCUUUAACUAUACGGACCUUUGUUGGCAAGGUGAUGUCUCUGCUUUUUAAGAUGCUGUCUAGGUUUGUCAUUGCUUUUUCCCCAAGAAGCAGGCGUCUUUUAAUUUCGUGGCUGCUGUCACCAUCUGCAGUGAUCAUGGAGCCCAAGAAAGUAAAAUCUCUCACUGCCUCCUUUUCUUCCCCUUCUAUUUGUGAGCAUACUGGGCUCCAAAUUCUUACAUCAAACCAAACAUCAGUCUACUCAUCAUAUACUCAAUAGAUGUGUGCUGUUGACCUCUGGCAGAACCUCACAAGACUUAAUUUGAUGCAUUUACCAGUUUUAAUAUAAUUGUAAUGUUUUUGAUUUUUAUUUUCCUGUAAUUCGUAACAGCCGAAAUGCAAUGAUUUCAUUUCUUGAAAGGUAGAAGAAAAGUCUGAAAUCUUUAUAAUGGCUAAAAUAUGUAACUUUAUGGUACAGUUUUAAAAACAAUAAUCAUGAGAUACCAAAUAUCCAUGUGCCAGCCAGACAGUAAAAUGCUAAAUUAUGAGCUUUUAGCCACAGAGAAUGAAAACAGGAGAUUUACUGUCUGGCUGAGAGAUUUUCUCCUUGAGAUAACUGCCAGGAGGGGGCGGGGAAACAUUCUGAAUGCAUCUACUCCCCCCACCCUUAACUUUUAAAGAUAAAUGAUGGACGGCAUUUGGUCAGCUUAAGAAUGUGGAAAGAUCCGUCACCCCAGCACUGAAAUGACAUUUUAAAUGAAUUACAUUGGAGGAAUUGUGUAGAUGUUUGUUUGUUUUUAAAGAAUACCUCUCUGCUAUGCUGAAGUCACAUUUUUAACAUGCUUCUCGGGCAAUAGCUAUAUUUUUUAAAGGUAGCAUGAAAUCAUAGAUCAGCCGUAACAAAAUGUGUUACAAAACAAUGAGACUGACAGCUCUUCAUUGUGUCUCUCAGUAACCAAUGAGUUUACAGCAAGGAAGGAUAAAAUUCAAGGAGUAGCAAUUUAGAAAUUAUGCUAAAUCCUGGCAAAUUGCUAACAUUUCUUAAUUGCUAUAUAAAUCGUCAGAAGGGAUGAUUAUGUUUAAAUCCACUCAUUAAGUACGUAUGCAUGCUGCUUAGGAAUAAUUAUAUUGUUCCAAAUUCUCUUCCAUUUAUAUGGUGUUUGAGAAUUUUAAAUACUAACCCCUCUGCCAGAAGACUAUCAUUUCAUAUAUGAUGUCCAAGAUCUGCUCCUUAGACACUAAGAUAUGCAAUUUCAUGAGUUUCACAGUCAAAUAAAACCAACAAAGAAGAACAGUGCUCAUCUACAUUUAAUUUUAAUGUAACCAUUGGGACAAAAGGCAUACUGAUAAUUAAGAGUCAAGAUACUUUGCUGACUCAGUUGCCAAUGAUUUUCCAAAGUAGUACUGCAUGAACUGUCUGCAACAUUAUCACCCUCUCUUUUGCCCACGGCACCACUAAAUUUACUCUAGGGGUUCUGACUCUUUGAAGCACUUCUGGGGGUGACAUGGGGCAUGGACCGGGGGGGGGGAUGGGAGACAAGAAAGGGAACUUUCCGUUGUGCAAGUGCAAAUCUAACACAAUGAGUGAAUUUGAUGCCGCGCUAGGUUUUCAAAUAUGCUUCCUAUUUUUUUCUGAAAUAAACUAUAAACCACAUGUUAACAUCUGAACAACUUUCACAGUUGCAAAUGUCCAUUCUUUGUGUGGAUCUGAUAUCAAACUGUUGUGUAGUGGUUCAGAGCGGUGGACUCGUAAUCUGGUGAACCGGGUGGUUCACGUCUCUGCUCCUCCACAUGCAGCUGCUAGGUGACCUUAGGCUAGUCACACUUCUCUGAAGUCUCUCGGCCUCACUCACCUCACAGAGUGUUUGUUGUGGGGGAGGAAGGGAAAGGAGAUUGUUAGUCGCUUUGAGACUCCUUAGGGUAGGGAUAAAGCGGGAUAUCAAAUCCAAACUCCUCCUCCUCUUCUUCAUUUACAUGGGUAAGAGGUCCCAUAGUGUUUGAAUAGGGAAGUAUGCAAAAAAACAAAACAAAACAAUACCCUAUACAGUGGUACCUCAGGUUACAUACGCUUCAGGUUACAGACUCCGCUAACUCAGAAAUAGUGCUUUAGGUUAAGAACUUUGCUUCAGGUUGAGAACAGAAAUCGUGCUCCAGCAGUGCAGCAGCAGCAGGAGGCCCCAUUAGCUAAAGUGGUGCUUCAGGUUAAGAACAGUUUCAGGUUAAGUAUGGACCUCCAGAACGAAUUAAGUACUUAACCCAAGGUACCACUGUACAUAACACAUCAGGUAAAGGCUGAGCCCUUUGUCUCUGACGGGAAGGAGUAUUUUAUGAGUAUUUUUAAAAGUAUUUGCUAGUAAUAUGGCAUGUGGGAGUAAUAAUGUAGGAAUUGUGGCAUUAGCUUGAGGGAUGCUGCCAACACAUUGUUGUGUUGGUCAAACUAGUCAACACCAGUACUAGCAGCUGUGCAGAGUAAACAUUUGGAUUCUGCAACUUUUGUGUUUAGAAACCUAAUCUUGGAGGGGGGGAGGUCCCCUCAACUUCCCCUUGGCUGUAACUUCCUUCUAUUUUUUUAAAAAUAGAAAUAAUCUCUGUAUCUUUGUGCAUGCAGUCUUGGACUGGGGAGGUGUAGCCUGGUGCAUCCUAUUUCACAACUGCUAAGAAGAACAACAAAAAUCACAUUUCAGGGUUAAGCUCCUCAUGUUUUUCAAAGCUUUUCAGUGUCAUUGAAGGUCUGCUUGCACAACAGAAUCCUGCUCAAAGAAAGAGGAGUUCCCCUGCUUCUCCUUCCUCAUGCAUUACUUGCAUGUCCCCAAAAAGCUUCUCUAGAGGAGGGCUAGGGCAGCCUCCAGAAAAACUGGGGGGUGGGAGGCUAUUGGAGGGGGGAAGAGAGGAAGGGGAAGUCCCAUUGCACCCAAACGUGUGAUAUUUGACAGUGAUGGAUUGCUUAAGGUAAAUAUAUUUGCUUUGGGUGGUUUAAGCUUAAAAUAAAUCUUGACUUUAGAAAGAAGGAAGUACAGAGAUAAACAUGCCUCUGGUGCAGGAUCUGACAGCACAAAUAGAGUGAGAUUGUGGGUUGAGUUGUAUAUAUACUAAGCUGGAUGCAGGAUUGUGGCAUCCUGACCCAACCUGUUAUGUACUGAAGUUCUCACCCUGGGCCAGCAGGGGGAUACUAUAGAUAGUUUUCACUCAGGUCCACAUAUGCAAAUAAGGAAUUGAAAGUGACGUUCAGUGAUUGGAUAGUUACAGAAAGUUGUUACUGUUGCAUUGUAGUUGAGCUCUAUAUAAGCAGGCUGGCUGAACCCUUCAGCUCAGUUCUGUUCUGGCCUGUGAAUAAAGAAGAGCUGUGUCAUCUGAUAUGUUCACCCACAACUUAACAGAACCCACGUUUGCUGUGCAAUCACUCAAGCAUACUUUUAUAUGUUUUACAUGUACAGUGGAACCUCAGUUUUUGAGCGUCUCAGAAGCCAAACAUUUCGGAACCCGAACACCGAAAACCUGGAAGUAAAUGCUUCCGUUUUCGAAUGCGCCUCGGAAGUCAAACAGCUUCCACUGCGUGUUUUUCAAUUUUCUCAAUGGAAAUUCUUCCGGAACGGAUUACGUUCGACAGCUGAGGUUCUACUGUAUACUUAUAAAUGAUAUUAUAUUUUUACUGUUUUGAUUGUUAGCUAUGAAGAAAAGACACCUAUGCUCUUGUACUCUCCAAAAUGCCAGGUACACUGAUGCUACUAUACAAGCAGACAAAUAAAACUCAUGAAGCUUUAUGCUAGCACACUAAACCGGGACUGAGCAUUGUGUUGUAAGUAGCCGAGGCGCUAAAACUCAGGCCUGAUAUUCUCAGUGCCAAUAGUGUCAUGUGAACAGGCUCUCAGAUGCUUAGCCUACUGUUAUUAAUGGGACCUGUCCAAAACACCAGAGGCUUAACAUGGUUUAAGGGCUUUCUAUUGACCCUCAACUCUGUUCCAAACAUUCUGUCCUGUAGCCUCUGGUACUAUGGGAAAAGAUCAAUAGGAACUAAAAAUACUUCCUCCCUUUUUGUCUCAGAAUAAACUGCUAAAUUUUUAUUAGUAUUUAAUUUUGAAUACAUAUCUCUAACACUACUAAAAUAAAAAGUCGUAAUGUUUAAUUUUGUUAUGACUAUAUUGAGGAGAAAUCAAAUUUCUGAGCAGUAUGAGAUCCCAGCUCUGCAUGUAAGCCAGUAAUUGUUCAACAGGCAGGGAUGAAAAGGGUGACGAAAUCAUCUGCUCCCCAUUCCCAAUAAUUUAUCAGAGCUAUUCAGACUUUGCAGGACAGUACAUGUACUGAUUGGCUAGUGAUCAGGUAGGAAGGGAGAAGUCAGUGUGGAAGCCAUUUGUGUGCAAGAUUCCUUAUUUAGCUAGGAAGAUACUCAUAUUUUAUUCCAGUUCCCUGCUGUUUCCCUAACUGUUAAUUUCAGCAUUGUAUUUGAGAUUCACACAAUGUCCAUGCCACUUUUAGGAAACUAAUGGAAUAUACUGCAUUUUUAGCACUCAUUUUCAUGUUAUUGGAUUUUGUGGGGCUGUGGCGGCAGGGAAUCCUUUUGUAGUCCCCUCAACCUGGAAAGGGACAUGGGUGGCGCUGUGGGUUAAACCACAGAGCCUAGGACUUGCUGAUCAGAAGGUUGGCAGUUCGAAUCCCUGCGAUGGGGUGAGCUCCCGUUGCUCUGUCCCUGCUCCUGUCAACAUAGCAGUUAGAAAGCAUGUCAAAGCGCAAGCAGAUAAAUAGAUACCGCUUUGGCAGGAAGGUAAACGGCAUUUUCAUGCGCUGGUCUGGUUCACCAGAAGCGGCUUAGUCAUGCUGGCCACAUGACCCGGAAGCUGUACGCCUUUUGCGUUAUAAUUACAUUUCCGUGCACCUAAUGAGGUCUGCAAAAGCUUUCUUGCUUUCAUCUUUUCCCAUCCUUCCUACAGUGAUAAGACUCCAUUGUGUCAUUUUCCUGUCACUUACGCAUGUGAUUUUGCUGUGCAUUUUGGCUUUCCAGCACGAAGGCAAGACAUAACUGAGUUUAGUAUCUUAGUAAUGUAGAAAGUGGCAGAAGGGGGGGGGGAGAGAUCUGAUUUAAGGGGAAACUCGUGUCAGUAAGGAGUGUGGAAACCUGACUAAUCACCUGCAGCUCCUCUCCCAGUUAACUUGCCUUAAUUGCAUUUUGAGAUUUGGGGAGAGAGAUUAUGAAUCACUGGACCCAAGUUCAGUAAAGAGGCUUUCAGCUUGCAGACUCACUAAUGAAGCUUUGCAAAAAUUUCCGGGGAGGUAGGCAUUAUUCCAGUAUUACACAUGAAUAAUCUGAAGUCCUGAGAGCUUAAGUAUGAUCUCAAAGCAAUUGGAGUGGCAUGCCGAGACCAGAAGUCACACACACAUCCUUUCUGAAACUGCACAGAAUUGCAAACACAAGCUGCAUGAACCAGAUUGGCAAACAUGUUAUCUGGAGGGGAGGUGGAGAAAUGAGCUAAAAAACGCCACUGUGCCAACAGUCUGAUCCACAACCGGAACUAGAAAUCAGCUGUCUGUGGUAACUCAGACUGAUUCAUAGCCAUGCAUGUUGCUUGCUUACUCUUGGUGAUGGUAGUUCAAUUGAGCCUUGGGAAUUAAUUAGCUAGGUGCAAAUUAAUUGGUUCACAAACAAUGGCCUCUUCAGAAUUUGAAUAUGUGUUUCCCCUGCAUUUAUUUGCUAUAGUGGCAUCCUCUUUUAUUGGAGCUUGGACAAAUAGCUGUUUGUCUGCCUGUGACUAAUGCAAAUCUUAACAUUUGUCUUAAGCAAAAUAUAAUAAUCUGCUUGUUUCAGACAGAAUUUGCGGCUGGGUGCUCUGAACUUAUGCAAGCUUCACUCCAUUAAGUCUGGAUGCUUGGAGACUGCAGCAGAAGGUUCAGCAGGAAGGAUCCAAUAAGGAAAACAAAUAUUUAUUUUUUGCAAGAGUGACCAUAAAAAGGAGGCGGGGAGGGAGAAAAGGAUUUGGCACAACAUUCUUCCAUUUAAUCUCCCCGGCCAAAUCCUCCACUGGCUGAUAAGAACUUUGUUGGCUUGUAAUACUGGCUUGUAAUACUGCAGCUUUUUGAAAUUUGAAUGUGUAUGAUUCAAUCAUGUAUCACACACACAUCUGUUCAACCCUAGGAUUCACUACCUAAAGUGAUGGCAUCAAAUUUGCAGAUGACACCAAACUGGGAGGGGUAGCUAAUGGCGCAGAAGACAGAAUCAGAAUUCAAAAUGACCUUAACAGAUUGGGCGCAAGCUAACAAAAUGAAUUUCAGUACAGACAAAUGUAAGGUUCUGCACUUAGGCAGGAAGAACCAGAUGCACAAGUAUAGGAUGGGGGACACCUGGCUAACUAGCAGUACAUGUGAAAAGGAUCUAGAGGUCUCGGUGGACCACAAGCUGAACAUGAGUCAACACCAGCAAAAAAAGCAGCAAAUAAGCUAAUGCUAUUCUAGGUUGCAUCAACAGAAGUAUAGUGUCCAGAUCAAGGGAAGUAAUAGUACUGCUCUAUUCUGCCUUAGACCACACCUGGAAUACUGUAUUCAAUUCUGGGCACCAUGAUUUAGGAAGGGUGCUGACAAGCUGGAACAUGUACAGAGGAGGGCAACCAAGAUGAUCAAGGGUCUGGAAACUAAGCCUUAUGAGGAACGCUUGAAGGAGUUGGGUACGUUUAGACUGAAAAGGAGGAGACGGAGAGGAGAUAUGAUCGCCAUCUUCAAAUAUCUUAAGGGCUGUCACAUGGAGGAGGGAGCAUGCUUGUUUUCUCCUGCUCUGGGGCCUAGGACUCGAACCAAUGGCUUCAAGUUGCAAGAAAGGAGAUUCCAACUAAACAUUUGGAAAAACUCUGACAGUAAAAGCUGUUCAGCAGUGGAACAGCCUCCCACAAGAGAUGGUGGACUCUUCUUCUCUGCAGAUUUUUCAAACAGAGGUUGGAUGGCCUUCUGUCAUGGAUGCUUUAGCUGAGAUUCCUGCAUUGCAGGGGGUUAGACUAGAUGACCCUUGGGUCCCUUCCAACUCUAAGAGUCUAUGAUUUUAUGAAAUAUGAAAUGUGUUAAGGAGUCCUCACUCUCUUCCCAUUUUUUUAAAAUUGGGGGGGGGGGUUUCAAGUAAAAGCUGCAAAUACUUUGCAAGCAUUUAUUUAUUUUCACUUAUGCCCCAUGUUGCUUAAACAGGAGCGCAAAGAGGUGAACACGGCAACUCUCCCCAGAGGCCAUUUUUCUUCCGAACAACCUGGUGAGGUGGGUUAAGGCAGAGACGGCAAGUCUUCAAGGUUACUCAGUGAGCUACAAGGCCAAGUAAGGAUACAAACUUGAGUCUGCCCAGUCCUAACCCAACACUCUAACCACCGCAGUGUCUCAAAAACCCAUCACUCAUCCACACAUAAGAUUGUACGACUUCAAAAUGCACGUGAACGAUUAGAUAUUUAAAUAUAUCUUCAUGACAACACCUCUCUGCUUGUAGAGGGAUGGUGCAGUUGGAAAAAAGCUUAAUUGUUUUUUAAAAUGGUAGAUUCUCAUUUCUACAUGAUCUCUAUCCAUGCAUUCUGAGGUGGUAGAGGCCUGUGAGGAUUGCAAAGGCUGGUGAGGAUUAUAUCAUGUGCCAACAUCUGAGCUGGGUCUAAUUAAGGUCACUGCGAGGAGGUGCCUGCCAUUAGCUCAUGAUGUUGUGAGUAUUUGCCGGAAGUUUCCCCAGCAACCAUGUUUGGGCUGGAGGGCAUGCCUCCUCUCCUAGCAUGCACAGAUAAAACAGAAACACUGAGAGGAUGGCGUGGGAUUGAGGAUGAGAGAGGGGGCAGCUAAGGAUACAGCUGUAGGAAAAGCCCCAUUGUGUCUGGCGUUUUCAGCCGUCAGGCUCAGACAGGCAAGGAGGAGGGUGGCUCCAACUGUAUCAAAGCUGCAGGCAGUGCAGUGUUGACAGACUAAGAAAGAAUGCACUCAGCGUAUUUUUACUUUUAAUUUUUCUUAUUCUACUUGUUGCAUUCUCAAUGUAUUUUUAAUUCUAAUUUUCCUUAUUCUACUUGUUGCAUUCUCAACAUAUUUUUAAUUUUAAUUUUCCUUAUUCUACUUCUUGCAUUCUCAGUGUAUUUUUAAGUGUAAUUUUCCUCAUUCUAGUUGUCAAUUCAGUGCGAUUCUGUUACUAUUGAUUUUGACAGCUCGAUGACUAAGCUCUAUAGCGUCAAAAAGUCAGAUUACCGGAACAACGUCCGAGCACUGAACCACUGGUAUAUCACAAGUGGACCCUUUAUUACUGCGUUUGCAAUUGUUCAAGAAAUAAUCCAUUUUGGAACGAGAAGAAAUGAGCACUGAACCACUGAUACAUAUAUUACAAUCGAAUACUGUGUUUGCUAUCGUUUUGGUCACUGCACACGUUAUGAUGCUAUAUACUCAAGGGC